AACUGUACUGUACGCCCUUAUAGCUAAACUGCAGAACACAAUAGGAGAUAUUUAUAAAAUGUAGAAGACAAUCGCCAUAACUUUUUUAUUGGCAAGUUAGGAUUUGGCUUGUAUGCCAUUCGGGUCGUUUAUAAAGAGAUUAACAGGGAGGAGCUGGAACAUUCCAGCAGUUUCCGUGGCGAUUGGAACUUGAUAUAGAACGGCAGGUUGAAUGGUCCCCAGUUUAUCAUCAUAGUUAUCAGAGGUUAGAGUCAGGUAAUUUUUAUGCCCAUGUAGUAUAGUUUCAUACAAAUUCUAUUUCUUAUCAAAUUGAAUCAAAUAAAUAGAUUAACCUCAAGCAGAUUUGCAAAGAUAACAAUAUAAUAUAAGUUUGUUUCCUGAAAUCCAAGGUGUGGUAUUUGCAAAUAAUUCAGGAUGAUAUCUGUUUCCUUGUGUAAGAAAAGUGUUUAUGGUAGUGUAAUAUUCACUAGGCAAUGUCAUGAAAACGUCAUAUUUUUAUGAUGCUAUUUAGGCUGUAUAACUGAUUAGCAGGAAACGAAUCUUUAUUUCUUCAG